rnacentral:rRNA from 1 species
GCGAACGCUGGCGGCAGGCUUAUCACAUGCAAGUCGAGCGGGCAUCCUUGUGGUGUCAGCGGCAGACGGGUGAGUAACGCGUGGGAACGUGCCCUUCGGUUCGGAAUAACUCAGGGAAACUUGAGCUAAUACCGGAUACGUGCGAGAGCAGAAAGGUUUAUCUGCCGAAGGAUCGGCCCGCGUCUGAUUAGCUAGUUGGUGAGGUUACGGCUCACCAAGGCGACGAUCAGUAGCUGGUCUGAGAGGAUGAUCAGCCACACUGGGACUGAGACACGGCCCAGACUCCUACGGGAGGCAGCAGUGGGGAAUAUUGGACAAUGGGGGCAACCCUGAUCCAGCCAUGCCGCGUGAGUGAUGACGGCCUUAGGGUUGUAAAGCUCUUUUCUCCGGGACGAUAAUGACGGUACCGGAGGAAUAAGCCCCGGCUAACUUCGUG